rnacentral:rRNA from 1 species
UACGUAGGGCGCGAGCGUUGUCCGGAAUUAUUGGGCGUAAAGAGCUCGUAGGCGGCCUGUCGCGUCGGUUGUGAAAGCCCGGGGCUCAACCCCGGGUCUGCAGUCGAUACGGGCAUCACUGGAGUUCGGCAGGGGAGACUGGAAUUCCUGGUGUAGCGGUGAAAUGCGCAGAUAUCAGGAGGAACACCGGUGGCGAAGGCGGGUCUCUGGGCCGAUACUGACGCUGAGGAGCGAAAGCGUGGGGAGCGAACAGG